ACUGAACGCUGGCGGCAUGCCUUACACAUGCAAGUCGAACGGCAGCACGGGAGCAAUCCUGGUGGCGAGUGGCGAACGGGUGAGUAAAGUAUCGGAACGUGCCCAGUCGUGGGGGAUAACGUAGCGAAAGUUACGCUAAUACCGCAUACGAUCUAUGGAUGAAAGCGGGGGAUCGCAAGACCUCGCGCGAUUGGAGCGGCCGAUAUCCGAUUAGGUAGUUGGUGGGGUAAAGGCUCACCAAGCCGACGAUCUGUAGCUGGUCUGAGAGGACGACCAGCCACACUGGGACUGAGACACGGCCCAGACUCCUACGGGAGGCAGCAGUGGGGAAUUUUGGACAAUGGGCGAAAGCCUGAUCCAGCCAUGCCGCGUGCAGGAUGAAGGCCUUCGGGUUGUAAACUGCUUUUGUACGGAACGAAAAGGUUUGGCCUAAUAAGCUGAGCUCAUGACGGUACCGUAUGAAUAAGCACCGGCUAACUACGUGCCAGCCGCCGCGGUAA
rnacentral:rRNA from 1 species